rnacentral:siRNA from 1 species
AUUGAGUGCAUCAUUCACGUU